rnacentral:lncRNA from 1 species
GUUUCAGGUUAGCUUGGAGUCACAACCAGACUCAAAACAAACAAAUAAAUAAAUAAAAAUUCAAAGAGAGUUUUUAACGGUAUAACAGAACCCUAUACCUAGUCAGGAGCAACCACUCGUUCACAAUUCUUGCUAAAUAUUAGCUAGUUGUAAAUAGCUAAUAUUCAUUCUUUCUAAUGCCACUUAAAUUUAUAUAAAUCCUAUACUAUGGCUCACCAACAAAGGCAAAACGGGCAACUCGUCCUUCAUCCUGAACCCUGCGCGUUCCAACGCCCAGAAACGUCCAGACACCGGGUGUGGUCUUUUCCAAAAUCAUUUAAGCAACUUUGUUCCAAGAGGCCAGUGCCACGCAGCUUCCGUUUCUAGACUACAUUUCCCAGAAACACGCGCGACGCCACACGACUUCCCGCUCGCACUUCCUUCGAAGGCAGCGAUUCCCCGAGGACACAGAGCCUACCGUGGAGGGGGCUUGUGCCCGGGCUGUCAGUCCUGCGUGUCGUGAGCGUUUCAGUCCGAGUUUGUGUCUGUGUCUAGGAAACUCGCGCACGCAAUCCCAAAUGCGGAGCCAGCGUCCCGGGCCGCCUCGGGCGGUGGGCUGGCGGGAAGCCGAGGUCGGGCGCCAUGUUCCCCGCCAGUUCCCAUCGCGGACUACAUUUCCCAGAAACGUCCGCGAAGUCCGGGCGGCCUCUUCUUUUGCCCGCGGGACCCUCUUCGUCCGGGCACGGGAAAGUGCACGGUGAGCGGCCUAGGCCCUCGUUAAGGCUCCCCAGGUGCGGCCCUGGGCUCCGAAGGGAAGUCCCAGCCAGGAUCCGAGGCGUCAGCUCUGUGGGAGCUGCUCUAGCUGGCUUUGCACCUCCAGAGGAACCCAGUGGAGAAAAGAGGAAUGGCUGUGGACCAAGCCAAACAGAAGGCACCGUAACAGACAGGAAGUGAUGCGCCCAGGGAAGUAAGAGGAGGAUUACAGAAUAAGCUUGUCCUGCCUGACUGUGAAAUUGCUGAGGUACCAGUAUGAGCCACUCGGCUGACAAUAGAGACAGAGGGA